GACGAACGCUGGCGGCGUGCCUAAUACAUGCAAGUCGAACGCAGUGGGGACGGGUGAGUAACACGUGGGUAACCUCCCAUCAGAGGGGAUAACACUUGGAAACAGGUGCUAAACCGAUACUGAUGGAUGGACCCGCGGUGAAUUGGCUAGUUGGUGAGGUAACGGCUCACAAAGGCGACGAUGCAUAGCUGGCCGGAGAGGAUGAUCAGCCACACUGUGACUGAGACACGGCCCAGACUCCUACGGGAGGCAGCAGGGGGGAAUCUUGUGCAAUGGACGCAAGUCUGACCCAGCCACGCCGCGUGUGUGAAGAAGGUUUUCGGGUCGUAAAACUCUGUUGUUGAAGAGGCGUUAUCUAAACAGAAAGCCACGGCUAACUACGUGCCAGCAGCCGCGGUAAUUC
rnacentral:rRNA from 1 species